AAGCGAGGACGGCCUCCCCCAGCUCUGGGAAAACGCGUCCGGGACGGCCCGG
rnacentral:ncRNA from 1 species